ACUCUUUUGGAGACUUUAUUCACUAAGAUAAGAUUUUACUUCCCUAAAAAUAUGUUUGACAGUUUGGUACUUUAGUUAUUUGGAGGGGCCAGAUUCAGAUUUACUUCAUGUUUCCAAAUGAUGUGCACUUGAGCAAUUCCUGGUUAGCAAAUAUGAACGUGACAAAUUGGCAGCCCACAAAAUCUUGUGUGUUAUGUUCAAAAUAUUUUGACGUAAUAUCGAUAAAAGUGGCUUUCGUGCGAGGCUAUUUCAUAGAGCGAUUCCAACAAUAUUUGAUUCACUGUUGCAAGAGAAUAAAGAAAAUUUACCAAAACCUGGGCCAGCAAGGAAAAAGAGUGCUAUUGAAGAUAUUGAAUGUGUCUUGACCAAAAAAGGACUAUAUAAAAAAAAUAGAACCACCACCAUCUACUUCAAAGCAGAGUGAUAACAUUUCAGUUACAAUACAGGAUGUAAGAAAAAUUAAUGUCAAUGAAAGAUAUAUUGAUAGAAAAAUAUACAACAAUGAAGUCUUA